AGAGGCCAGACCAACAGCCUGGGGAAUGCAGCCCUCAGUUUAUCCACAAAACAGGUACCACCGUGGGCGGUGGGUGAAUGCCCCCUUCAGGGAGGCUAUGCCUCCCCCUGCUUCCCUCCUUGCCCACUGGAGCUUCAAGCGUGCCCCCUCACCAACCACAGCCGGAGGAGCCUCAGCCGACCCGCCCUGACCCACCGGCCCAAGCUGAGCCCCCACCGGCUUCAGAGAUAGGGGGAGCACCGUCCAUGGGGCAGAGCGUGGGCAGGGCCAUGGCCUGGGUUAGGGGAGGCUUAGCCUCCCUUGGCCUAUGACACCCACCACCCAUUGGGUACCACGCAGGCUGCCGGACUGCACCUUGCUCUCAGCCAACGUGUCUUAGCCCUGAACUUGCAGGGCUCAGACAGGAGGUGAGUCUCCAUAGCCCGCCCUUCAAGCUGUCUCCUCUCUGCCGAGAUUGCCAACUAUCGGGCUCUGGGCACACGUUUCCUGGGAGCUGGUCCUUUAGAUCCUGAAGCGGGGUUGGGGGCAUGCAUGCUGCUAAAGCCCAGAUCUCUCCCUGGGGUGGGGGAGAAUAGGGGGAAAUGUUCUUCUUCAAGAUGUUGACCCAAAGGAGCUUGGACUUUGUGGGACUGAGCAGAAAUGUCUCUCCUGAGCAGGCAAUGCUGUGGCUCAAUGCUAGUUAAUUUAAUGAACUAAUUUAAAUGAUUAUUUAUCCAAGAAGCAUCAGUGUCUAUUGCAGUACGAGUGUAAUGUUGUUUUCAUUGAACUGCCCUGUGGGGUGGGUAAGGAGCAGCGGGAUUGAAACUGUAUCAUCCUUCUGCUUUGCCUGAAGCGGGAGUGACCUUUGGGGAUACUCCCUCCUAACCCAGUUCCAAUGCAGAGCAAGUACCCAGCCCCUUCUUAUCCUCCAUAGUGGCACAGCCUUGGGGUAGCAGCUUUGUCCCUUGGGUGUCUGUAGGGUUUUGAUUUCAUCACUAAGUGUUUAACCGCACUCAAGGACUCCCGUUGACUUAGUGAGUGCUGGAUUAGGGCCCAAAGCUUUUCCUGCCACUGCACCCCUUCUCCCUUGUAGCAGUCGGGCAUGUGUAACAUGGCUGGUACCACUAGGGGGCAUGGCUAGGGAACGAGCGUGUGUAUGUUGUGUCCAUCCCUGCUGCCCGCUGCUGGAGGGUGUGUGUGUGUGGGUGUGUGUGUGUGUGUGUGUGUGUGUGUGCAUACAUGUCCCAGGGCUGCUUGGUUCUCAGCACUCGCAGCAGCCGGCUAUCGCCCGCUGAGAGAAGCCAUGAACUCCCUGCCUGGAAGCCCAGCCUAUCCAGUGGGCACAGUGCUGGAUGCCCAGUGUAUUGUGUGUGUCCUGCCCCCGCCUCCUCUGGAACCCCACCCACGGGCUCCUGCUCCGAGAGCCCCUGUCCAGGGGGCCAACACAGAGGAGGUGGCUGAGCGCUGGGUGUACUGGGGACAAGAAGGGGUCGGUGGGGCUGAUGCAGGGACCAGGGUGAAAAUCGGGCUGAGCGCUGGGUAUUGCUAGGUGGGGAGAACAGCUUCGCCCUCCCUUGACCUUGGAAUGGCUGUGGGGUGACUACGGUAGCCCAAUGGCUGUAGCUGCCCUCUGCAGGGCCAGUACCCCUCCAGACAGCGGGCGCUGUGUGGACACGUAUGAGAAUGGUCCCUGUCCCACAGGGCUUGUGGUCUCAGCAGAGCAUCCCCACUCUCCUUCCUACACUACACGCGCUGCGGGGUACUGCAGUGGGCUGCUGAAUGCCAUGCUCACUCAGGCAAGGAAGGGGAGCCCCCGCUCCCCCCCCAGCUCCCUUUGUCAAGCUCUGAAGGGUGGCGGGAGAUUUCUCAGCUGCCUCUUUGGGCUUGUUCCUGGUGUCUCGGUGCCCCGCACCAUGGCUGCUUGGUACCUUGUGGUGAUGGCAGUGGUGGAACCCAUGUGCCCCUGCUCCAAAAGUGCAGUCCCCUGCUGCUGGGUUUCCAAAGCUUUUGGCAUUUGCAUAGGUUUUUAGAUGGAGGGAGGUGUGGAAGGGGAGAGGGAGAUGUAGAAGGAAAUCAUGAUAGACGACUUCUGCCCCUGCUCUCCGAGACCCAUGGGAGCGAUGGCACUGUGUGGUCCUCCCUGGGUCUGGUGGAGCUGUUCCCGAACUUGGGAUAGGUGAUGCCUGUGUGUCUAGACCUGACCCUCUGGGGGCGGGACACUGAAAUAUUUACUGUACAGUAUCUGUCAACUCUAAACUCUGUCAUGCUCACUGGUCUUUGGAGUGCGAGCGAUCUCAGAAUCCCAGUUGCCUCCGAAGAUGACUGAUGUAUUGUACCACGGUUCAAUUGUAAAGACUUUUUGAAAAGAGUUUUUUUUAUAAAAGAAUUCUUGCUCCAAAGACUGUACAUAGGUAAAUCUGCAAGAUGUGCUGAUGAUCCCUUACUCUCUAGAUUGUAUAUAUUGUAAAUCUAGAUUGCAGUUUAAAAAAAAAAUCUGAUGUAAAGAAUGAAACGUAUGCUUGAAAAAGGCAAAACAAAGAACUUCAUUUGUGGAUAAAACCCUAAAAAAGG